rnacentral:lncRNA from 1 species
GUCUUUUGCAAACAAGUUCAUGAACCAAGAAAACCACCUUAUAACUCCACCAACUCUCCUUAUUCAUUGUUUUAAAUGCUUUUAUAAAUCUUUACUGUCACUUGAUAAUUAUUUACAGUAACAUGGAACAAAAGUGAAGCAGAUAUUUGAAAUCUACAGAUGACUCUACCUCCAAUUCAGCAGACUGGUGUUUGAGUAACUCACAAAGAAGUUCAGAAGCCACUGCGCCAGCCACGGAGGUACACGGCUCAACUCUCCUUCCAGACAGAAGCUGCUGGGAGGAGCUCCAGCUACCACAGCAGUCAUUCUGAGGCUACGCCUUCCCCAGGCUGCUUCUAGCCAAUAACUCUGCACAGCAGGGAGACUGGAGGUGGGACAUUUCUGCCAACAUGGGACCCAUCGAAUGGCUCUCCUCUCUGGCUUGGCUAAAACAUUCUCAGAACUGUACUGUCAUCUGAGGCUCUUUGUACCCAUUCCUCCUUCCCUCUUCCUCUUUUUUUCCCAGGUGUCAGACUUACAUCAUGGCCUGGGGAUCUCACAGCCUUCACCUGCUUCCUCUCCUCUCUAUGUUUCACAGACAUUUCCCCAAUAAAUCUCAUAAAUCUCUUGUAUUUCUAAUUUUGUCUUGGAUUUGCUUCCUGGAUUACCCGGCCUGCUGCAGCUGCCAUUGUGCUAUUUUCUCUCCUUCUCCCCCGCCUCAAUUUUAUAAUGCAUAGUUUUAUAAAAAGAAAUAGCCUAUGCU